rnacentral:rRNA from 1 species
CAAUAGCGUAUAUUAAAGUUGUUGCGGUUAAAAAGCUCGUAGUUGGAUUUCUGCUGAGAACGACCGGUCCGCCCUUUGGGUGUGUAUCUGGCUCUUUCUUGGCAUCUUCUUGGUGAACGUUGCUGCACUUGACUGUGUGGAGCGCUACCCAGGACUUUUACUUUGAGGAAAUUAGAGUGUUUCAAGCAGGCAUACGCCUUGAAUACAUUAGCAUGGAAUAAUAAGAUAGGACCUCGGUUCUAUUUUGUUGGUUUCUAGAGCUGAGGUAAUGAUUAAUAGGGAUAGUUGGGGGCAUUCGUAUUUAACUGUCAGAGGUGAAAUUCUUGGAUUUAUGAAAGACGAACUUCUGCGAAAGCAUCUGCCAAGGAUGUUUUCAUUGA